rnacentral:rRNA from 1 species
GACGAACGCUGGCGGCGUGCCUAAUACAUGCAAGUCGAACGCAGUGGGGACGGGUGAGUAACCCGUGGGUAACCUGCCAUUAGCGGGGAUAACACUUGGAAACAGGUGCUAAACCGAUACUGAUGGUUGGACCCGCGGUUCAUUAGCUAGUUGGUGAGGUAACGGCUCACCAAGGCCACGAUGGAUAGCGGACCUGAGAGGGGGACAGCCAAAACUGGGACGGAGACAGGGCCCAGACUCCUACGGAAGGAAGCAGAAGGGAAUCUUCGGAAAUGGAGGAAAGUCUGACCGAGAAACGCGGCGUGGGGGAAGAAGGUUUUCGGAUGGUAAAACGUUGUUGUAAGGGAGGCGGUAUCUAACCAGAAAGCAACGGCUAACUACGUGCCAGCAGCCGCGGUAAUAC